AACGAACGCUGGCGGCAGGCCUAACGCAUGCAAGUCGAGCGCGCCCUUCGGGGUGAGCGGCGGACGGGUGAGUAACGCGUGGGAACGUGCCCUUUUCUACGGAAUAGCCUCGGGAAACUGAGAGUAAUACCGUAUACGCCCUUUGGGGGAAAGAUUUAUCGGAAAAGGAUCGGCCCGCGUUGGAUUAGGUAGUUGGUGGGGUAAUGGCCUACCAAGCCGACGAUCCAUAGCUGGUUUGAGAGGAUGAUCAGCCACACUGGGACUGAGACACGGCCCAGACUCCUACGGGAGGCAGCAGUGGGGAAUCUUAGACAAUGGGGGCAACCCUGAUCUAGCCAUGCCGCGUGAGUGAUGAAGGCCUUAGGGUUGUAAAGCUCUUUCAGCUGGGAAGAUAAUGACGGUACCAGCAGAAGAAGCCCCGGCUAACUCCGUG
rnacentral:rRNA from 1 species